UCGGACGGGAUUUUCCGUUGUAGCAAUACGAUGGAAAAUUUAGUGGCGAACGGGUGCUUAACACGUGGGCAACCUGCCAGGAAGUGGGGGAUAGCUCGCCGAAAGGCGAAUUAAUACCGCAUGUGAUUAGAGUGGACAUCCAUUCGAAAUUAAAGUCGGGGCAACCUGACGCUUCUUGUGGGGCCCGCGGCCUAUCAGCUAGUUGGUGAGGUAACGGCUCACCAAGGCUUUGACGGGUAGCUGGUCUGAGAGGACGACCAGCCACACUGGGACUGAGACACGGCCCAGACACCUACGGGUGGCAGCAGUCGAGAAUUUUUGACAAUGGGGGAAACCCCGAUCGAGCGACGCCGCGUGGAGGAUGAAGGUCUUCGGAUUGUAAACUCCUGUCAUUGGGGAACAAUGCACCGGUAUUAACUGUAUCGGUGUUGAUAGUACCCGAAGAGGAAGAGACGGCUAACUCUGUGCCAGCAGCCGCGGUAAUACAGAGGUCUCAAGCGUUGUUCGGAUUCAUUGGGCGUAAAGGGUGCGUAGGCGGCGCGGUAAGUCGGGUGUGAAAUCUCGGGGCUUAACUCCGAAACUGCAUUCGAUACUGCCGUGCUUGAGGACUGGAGAGGAGACUGGAAUUUACGGUGUAGCGGUGAAAUGCGUAGAUAUCGUAAGGAAGACCAGUGGCGAAGGCGGGUCUCUGGACAGUUCCUGACGCUGAGGCACGAAGGUCA
rnacentral:rRNA from 1 species